GUGUUCACUUUGGCAGCACAUAUACUAAAAUUGGAAUGAUACAGAGAAGAUUAGCAUGGCAUCCAGCACAAGGAUGACAUGAAAAUUCAUGAAGCAAUCCAUAUAUUU
rnacentral:snRNA from 1 species